CUCCACAUCCGCAUCCUUUGCUGAGGAUACGGUUAACGGAGCGAAAGCGACGUUCAACCGCAAAACAAGCAGAGGGGGCUUAGUGGUGGGGUGACUGCGUACCUUUUGUAUAAUGGGUCAGCGACUUAUAUUCUGUAGCAAGGUUAACCGAAUAGGGGAGCCGGAGGGAAACCGAGUCUUAAUUGGGCGUUAAGUUGCAGGGUAUAGACCCGAAACCCGGUGAUCUAGCCAUGGGCAGGUUGAAGGUUGGGUAACACUAACUGGAGGACCGAACCGACUAAUGUUGAAAAAUUAGCGGAUGACCUGUGGCUGGGGGUGAAAGGCCAAUCAAACCGGGAGAUAGCUGGUUCUCCCCGAAAGCUAUUUAGGUAGCGCCUCGUGAAUUCAUCUCCGGGGGUAGAGCACUGUUUCGGCUAGGGGGCCAUCCCGGCUUACCAACCCGAUGCAAACUGCGAAUACCGGAGAAUGUUAUCACGGGAGACACACGGCGGGUGCUAACGUCCGUCGUGAAGAGGGAAACAACCCAGACCGCCAGCUAAGGUCCCAAAGUCAUGGUUAAGUGGGAAACGAUGUGGGAAGGCCCAGACAGCCAGGAUGUUGGCUUAGAAGCAGCCAUCAUUUAAAGAAAGCGUAAUAGCUCACUGGUCGAGUCGGCCUGCGCGGAAGAUGUAACGGGGCUAAACCAUGCACCGAAGCUGCGGCAGCGAACGUAUCACCCAAGACAACUUUACGGAGUUGACGAUUGACGGAGCGAAGCGACGUCAAAGCGUUCAUUAAAGUCGAGUUGGCUUAGGGAUACGUUCGUUGGGUAGGGGAGCGUUCUGUAAGCCUGUGAAGGUGUGUCGUGAGGCAUGCUGGAGGUAUCAGAAGUGCGAAUGCUGACAUAAGUAACGAUAAAGCGGGUGAAAAGCCCGCUCGCCGGAAGACCAAGGGUUCCUGUCCAACGUUAAUCGGGGCAGGGUGAGUCGACCCCUAAGGCGAGGCCGAAAGGCGUAGUCGAUGGGAAACGGGUUAAUAUUCCCGUACUUGGUGUUACUGCGAAGGGGGGACGGAGAAGGCUAUGUUGGCCGGGCGACGGUUGUCCCGGUUUAAGCGUGUAGGUGUGUGUUCCAGGUAAAUCCGGUUCACUUUAACACUGAGGCGUGACGACGAGGCACUACGGUGCUGAAGCAACAAAUGCCCUGCUUCCAGGAAAAGCCUCUAAGCAUCAGGUAACACGAAAUCGUACCCCAAACCGACACAGGUGGUCAGGUAGAGAAUACCAAGGCGCUUGAGAGAACUCGGGUGAAGGAACUAGGCAAAAUGGUGCCGUAACUUCGGGAGAAGGCACGCUGACACGUAGGUGAAGUGAUUUACUCAUGGAGCUGAAGUCAGUCGAAGAUACCAGCUGGCUGCAACUGUUUAUUAAAAACACAGCACUGUGCAAACACGAAAGUGGACGUAUACGGUGUGACGCCUGCCCGGUGCCGGAAGGUUAAUUGAUGGGGUCAGCGCAAGCGAAGCUCCUGAUCGAAGCCCCGGUAAACGGCGGCCGUAACUAUAACGGUCCUAAGGUAGCGAAAUUCCUUGUCGGGUAAGUUCCGACCUGCACGAAUGGCGUAAUGAUGGCCAGGCUGUCUCCACCCGAGACUCAGUGAAAUUGAACUCGCUGUGAAGAUGCAGUGUACCCGCGGCAAGACGGAAAGACCCCGUGAACCUUUACUAUAGCUUGACACUGAACAUUGAGCCUUGAUGUGUAGGAUAGGUGGGAGGCUUUGAAGUGUGGACGCCAGUCUGCAUGGAGCCGACCUUGAAAUACCACCCUUUAAUGUUUGAUGUUCUAACGUGGACCCGUAAUCCGGGUUGCGGACAGUGUCUGGUGGGUAGUUUGACUGGGGCGGUCUCCUCCUAAAGAGUAACGGAGGAGCACGAAGGUUGGCUAAUCCUGGUCGGACAUCAGGAGGUUAGUGCAAUGGCAUAAGCCAGCUUGACUGCGAGCGUGACGGCGCGAGCAGGUGCGAAAGCAGGUCAUAGUGAUCCGGUGGUUCUGAAUGGAAGGGCCAUCGCUCAACGGAUAAAAGGUACUCCGGGGAUAACAGGCUGAUACCGCCCAAGAGUUCAUAUCGACGGCGGUGUUUGGCACCUCGAUGUCGGCUCAUCACAUCCUGGGGCUGAAGUAGGUCCCAAGGGUAUGGCUGUUCGCCAUUUAAAGUGGUACGCGAGCUGGGUUUAGAACGUCGUGAGACAGUUCGGUCCCUAUCUGCCGUGGGCGCUGGAGAACUGAGGGGGGCUGCUCCUAGUACGAGAGGACCGGAGUGGACGCAUCACUGGUGUUCGGGUUGUCAUGCCAAUGGCACUGCCCGGUAGCUAAAUGCGGAAGAGAUAAGUGCUGAAAGCAUCUAAGCACGAAACUUGCCCCGAGAUGAGUUCUCCCUGAGACUUAGAGUCUCCUGAAGGAACGUUGAAGACGACGACGUUGAUAGGCCGGGUGUGUAAGCGCAGCGAUGCGUUGAGCUAACCGGUACUAAUGAACCGUGAGGCUUAACCUUACAACGCCGAAG
rnacentral:rRNA from 1 species